rnacentral:rRNA from 1 species
UAUAAGUCUCAACGCGACGACGGGUAGCCGGCCUGAGAGGGCGACCGGCCACACUGGGACUGAGACACGGCCCAGACUCCUACGGGAGGCAGCAGUGGGGAAUAUUGCACAAUGGGCGAAAGCCUGAUGCAGCGACGCCGCGUGAGGGAUGACGGCCUUCGGGUUGUAAACCUCUUUCAGCAGGGAAGAAGCGCAAGUGACGGUACCUGCAGAAGAAGCGCCGGCUAACUACGUGCCAGCAGCCGCGGUAAUACGUAGGGCGCAAGCGUUGUCCGGAAUUAUUGGGCGUAAAGAGCUCGUAGGCGGCUUGUCACGUCGGAUGUGAAAGCCCGGGGCUUAACCCCGGGUCUGCAUUCGAUACGGGCUAGCUAGAGUGUGGUAGGGGAGAUCGGAAUUCCUGGUGUAGCGGUGAAAUGCGCAGAUAUCAGGAGGAACACCGGUGGCGAAGGCGGAUCUCUGGGCCAUUACUGACGCUGAGGAGCGAAAGCGUGGGGAGCGAACAGGAUUAGAUACCCUGGUAGUCCACGCCGUAAACGUUGGGAACUAGGUGUUGGCGACAUUCCACGUCGUCGGUGCCGCAGCUAACGCAUUAAGUUCCCCGCCUGGGGAGUACGGA